rnacentral:lncRNA from 1 species
UAAAAAUCUGCAUUACAGCCCAGAACAUGGCUUGUCUUUCACAUCACUGUCACCACUGUUGAAACGCACCACCCACCACCUCACUGUGUUCACAUCCACUGUUUGUUCUUCAUGAACACUGAGCAAACUUUGAUGAAUGUCAAUGGGUACAAUAUUUUCUGCAUGGAGGAAUUCAGUUACUCACCUUUGCUUUAUAAGCACUUCCAUGUCAGACACCAUUCUGUCAGCCUGCUCCUCUGCUGCCAUCUGUGACACGGCAACAACAUGUAACAGAAUACUGGCAGGAAGGUUCCACCUCUACUGCCGUACCACCACCAUCUGCCUCUGGCAUCAUGGGCCAAUGUAAUAUAAAUAGGAGGCAUUACUUUUGUAGCAGACUUCACAAAUGAUUGCAUUUCAGUGCUUGAAAAUGCUGGACAGAAACAAACCUGAAGCCUAGCUCUGAACUAUAGAGAGAAAUUCUGACCAUUUCAAGACUAUCUUUUCUCUGAAUUUAUGUCACUGUUCUGCUUGUUCUCCUGACGUCAACCAGGGAAGAAUUAGGGAAGAUAUGGACAUCAUGAACUAGUUGCUAAACCAUCCAUAAAUGACUGAAGCAAAUACUGGCAAUGAUUUGCAGCUCCUGGAACAACUGAAUAACAUUGUUGAUAAAUUAUGGAACCUGACAAGAAAACAGAGGGAAAGAGUCCCCACAGAUGUUUAAGUGAGAGCUCCCGGACUGCCUGCAGACUGCCUGCGAACACUCUGCCCAGUGCUUUGACAGCUGUGCUCUCUCUGAAAGAUCCCAGGUGCAAUCUGCAUUCUGGCCACGCAAAGCUUGCAGGCAUAUUGGCUGCAUAUGCUGAAUAUGUGUUCAGAGAGUACUCAGAAGUUGAUGUUUGCUGUGAGGACAUCUUCCUUAAGAAAAUAAUGAGUUACAACUUGCGAAAAUCAAAACAAGAGAAAAGGAACCAUGUUUCCAGUUUGAGCAUUUCAGUUCGUGUUUCUGUGUCCUGCUGAUAACUCUCUGCUUCUUUCCCAUGCUACCGAGUGACCACAUCUUCAGGGUCACGUGUAGAUGGUUUUGCAGGAGGAUUUGUACUGGCUAAAGAAUUUAGCCUAAAGCUAAAUUCUACUAAUGCUGUCCAAGAAACAGUACAUUCAUAUGAAUAGCAUUUGUGAUAGUGAAUACUCAGCAGUGGAUCUGUUACCAUUUAAUAGGGAUUGUAUCUUGUUUUAGAGAAAAAUAUUUGGAGUCUUACUGAAAAAAUUCUUGUUUCUGUUACAUAAUCAUCCUAAAACUCAGUUCUUAAAGGAUGUUUGUUGUUUUUCCUUUGCAAAGAUCAAGUCAAUAAUUUUUAACUCCUUCAGGUGAGCUCUUGCUUGAUUUGCGAUGUAUGUGUCACAUUUCAGUAAUGUCAACCUGAACUUUUCACUCAAAUUAGGAUAGUAUAAUAUAUUUUUAUUAUUAUGUGCCUUAUUUUUCUUGCAACGAAGCACAUUUGACACUGAGCAUAACAACAUGAAAGAAACUGGUAUUAAAUUACAAAAAAAUAAAAUAUAGUAAGACAAGUUCA